rnacentral:lncRNA from 1 species
GAAUAUCAAAUGCCAUAUAUUUUAUAUCAAAUAACAUUCACAAAAAUAUAUUCUAGUUAUCAAAUAUAAUAUUGGAUCUAGGGCAUAUUUAUUAUAUCCCUAACAAAACAUUUGUUGAAUUGCCGGUUUACAGAGAAAUAAGUUUUGUCCUUGAACUUUCCUGGUGUUGAUGGAUACAAUUGCUCUUCUAAUGGCCGCAUUUUCUUGAACAAAAAGAGAAAAAAGAAACUUCUGGGAUUGUUUUGUAAUUGAGAGAAAAUUGGAACUUCGUUAGAUGCAGAGGAAAAUGGUGGAUUUUUUGAGUCUGCACCUGAGGAAAGAAGAAGAAAGAAAAGGAAUAUAUAUAUAUUGAAAGAAAACUGCAAAACGCGUUAGAGAAAGAGAGAGAAAGGAAAAAUAUUCAAAGGAUAAAGAAAUUGGAUGAGAGAAAGAGAGAGUUUCGAGGAGACAGCCAAUGCCAA